rnacentral:rRNA from 1 species
UACGUAGGGGGCAAGCGUUGUCCGGAAUCAUUGGGCGUAAAGCGCGUGUAGGCGGCGCGGUAAGUCCGGUGUGAAACCUUGGGGCUCAACCCCAAGCCUGCACCGGAUACUGCCGCGCUCGAGUCCGGGAGAGGGAAGCGGAAUUCCUAGUGUAGCGGUGAAAUGCGCAGAUAUUAGGAAGAACACCGGUGGCGAAGGCGGCUUCCUGGAACGGUACUGACGCUGAGACGCGAAAGCGUGGGGAGCGAACAGG